ACAAAUAGUUUUAGACUAUUGAAAACAACGCCUACUUCUAUAGCCAUCUGUUUCAUGCAUUUUAUAAAAUUCAGUCGAGCAAUCAUUGUAUUUAUUCGACUAUUUUUCACCUUUUAUCCAGCCGCGUAUCCGAAAGUGUAAAAAGUCAAAUCCUUGCUCGAGAUGGGUUUGCAAAUAUUCGACCAAUAAAUGCAGAUCUCUCGGCGAGUGGAGCUGAUUUACUACAGGCAGUAUGCGUAGAAUUUGGUGAAGAAAUCAGCAGUUGUGAUGUCUUUUGUGGAUCGACAAAGGUGCUAUUUUAAGAUAUUUCAGAACCUAGGU